AGCAGCCGCGGUAAUUCCAGCUCCAAUAGCGUAUAUUAAAGUUGUUGCAGUUAAAAAGCUCGUAGUUGAAUUUCGGGGUUAGUAGGUUGGUCAUGCCUCUGGUAUGUACUGGUCUCACUGAUUCCUCCUUCCUGAUGAACCGUAAUGCCAUUAAUUUGGUGUUGCGGGGAAUUUGGACUGUUACUUUGAAAAAUUAGAGUGUUUAAAGCAAGCUAACGCUUGAAUACAUUAGCAUGGAAUAAUGAAAUAGGACGUUCGAUCCUAUUUUGUUGGUUUCUAGGAUUGACGUAAUGAUUAAUAGGGAUAGUUGGGGGCAUUAGUAUUCAAUUGUCAGAGGUGAAAUUCUUGGAUUUAUUGAAGACUAACUACUGCGAAAGCAUUUGCCAAGGAUGUUUUCAUUAAUCAAGAACGAAAGUUAGGGGAUCGAAGACGAUCAGAUACCGUCGUAGU
rnacentral:rRNA from 2 species